GAAUAUUGGGCAAUGGGCGGAGGCCUGACCCAGCCAUGCCGCGUGCAGGAAGACGGCGUUCUGCGUUGUAAACUGCUUUUAUACGGGAAGAAAAGGCCCAUGCGUGGGACAUUGCCGGUACCGUAUGAAUAAGCACCGGCUAACUCCGUGCCAGCAGCCGCGGUAAUACGGAGGGUGCAAGCGUUGUCCGGAUUUAUUGGGUUUAAAGGGUGCGUAGGCGGCCUGUUAAGUCAGCGGUGAAAGUUUAUGGCUCAACCAUGAAAUUGCCGUUGAUACUGGCGGGCUUGAGUGUCGAUGGGGUACAUGGAAUUUAUGGUGUAGCGGUGAAAUGCAUAGAUACCAUAAGGAACACCGAUAGCGAAGGCAUUGUACUUAUCGACAACUGACGCUGAGGCACGAAAGCGCGGGUAGCGAACAG
rnacentral:rRNA from 1 species